rnacentral:snoRNA from 1 species
CCAGGCUCCUAUCGAAGCCGUUCAUGCUCUUCAGUAGCAGCGAAUGGUCAACAUGAAGCCGAGAAGAAGACUUUCACCGACGGUCGCUGGUCAGUUCGUAAAUAACUGGUCCAGCAACAUUAAGGGGAAGGACACUC